AUCCUGCAAGAUAGGAUGAUUUUGAAUCAGUGAAUAGGACUUAUCUGACCAAUUCUUGGAACUACUAGUUUUAGCGGUAUUUUGGGGAAUCUAAAUCCUUAGCUUGUGUAUGGACCAGAUAUCACCAAGCACCCAAGUAUAAAUAAGCCUUACAACUCUCUAACAGAAACUUAAUGACUUCAACUUAAGUUGCAUACUGACCUAGGAUUUGGGCUGACUUAGUAAUUAAAACUUUGUGUGCUUUUGAAAUUCUUGGCACUUAUGUAUUUGAAAUUAGAUUUUAUAAAGCAAUAAAACAAAUUCUUUAGGUAGAGACAGCAGUUUGUGGGUAUCUGAGCCGAAAACCCUCACGAGACAAAAUUUGUCCACUAAGGCCACCUAGGGGUUUAAAGCCUUAUUGCAUACGGUAAAUACAAUCGCGAUUCCUGCGAAAGUGAGUUAGUUUUUAUUUUGCUCAAGGACAAGCAAAAUCUAGGUUAGGGGGUGUGAUAAGUGCUAAAUAAGACAUAAAUUAGCCUCUUUUUCAUAGCAUUUAUCAUUAUUUUAAUUCACAUAUUUUGUAAAUUUAACCAUAAAAGAUGUGUUAUCUUCAUCAUUGCAUUUUAAUAAAUUACUAAAGGUAAUUCGAGUUUGAUUUGAUUAAUCGAGUCUAAUGCAGGUCCAGUCCAAUAGUUCCCAAGUCAUCCACUGUGGUUUAGUUUCUCCCGUAUCCAAUUGAGUUCAACCUCUCAAGAUUAGUUUCAUCCUCUCCACGUUGCACUAUUUGAACCCAUACCACGACCGUAGAUUAGCAAUCAUCCCAUUUGUGAUCAGCCACUCGAAACCCCACAUCCAAACUAAUCCAGUAUUCUGUAAUUCCUCUCACGUAUUUAGAUUAACUCCAGCCGAUACACAGCUCCAAGUCCAACAAGCCUUCCAUGCUAGUCUUCCCUUGUUCCACAACAUUCAUCUAAGCUUCAUCUUUUGGAUCAUCUCCCAGAUUAGAUCUCCUCCCAACCGUAUCAUUCUUCCACGGAUUUCCUCCCAGCAUCCUUAUCUUCUCCACGUCCCAGCCAUCUUCCGGACUAAUCCCAGCAAACUUCCCACGUAUAUCCCAACAUCUCUCCCCUGUUUUGCGUCACCAGAUCAUGUUUCAUCAUUUCUCCUCAUCCACUUCUUUCGAAUCCAGCAUCUUUCCGGCUUGAUCCCAUGGAAUCCUCUGCUCCGCGUCCGUAUAGUCCGUGAUCCAUCUUCAUCCAAGUUUUUCCCAGUUGAGUUCUUCCUUAUCCCGCAGUCAGGCGGGAUGAGCCUUCCGAACGCCCAGAUUGCCCAUCAUCCCGUUCGAAAUGGAGUCCCAUUGCCCACGGAUAAGUCCAGCUCGCUCCCAACUGCUCCGGAUCACUUCCUCUGCAUCCCAGCAAAACAGAGCUCAUCCACGGAUGAGCUCCAAUCCCAGUAAAUCUCAGCAUCCCAACCUCUUGCCGGAUCAACUCCAUCGCGUCCAGCUGCCCAUCCUCCGCAGAUCCAGCCUUCGCUCCCACCUCUUCUCUGCGAGCAUCUUCUUCCCAACGAAAGGAUCAGCAUCCCAGCCGUAUCCACCGUUCGCAAGCAACCGUACGCAUCACCCUU
rnacentral:lncRNA from 1 species